rnacentral:rRNA from 1 species
GACGAACGCUGGCGGCGUGCUUAACACAUGCAAGUCGAACGAUGAAGUUAUGACGGAGGCUUCGGCCGACUGAAUGAUGGAAUAGUGGCGGACGGGUGAGUAACGCGUGAGUAACCUGCCUUUCAGAGAGGAAUAACAUUUGGAAACGAAUGGUAAUACCACAUAACAUUACGUUCUCGCAUGGGGAUGUAAUCAAAGAUUUUAUCGCUGAGAGAUGGACUCGCGUCCGAUUAGCUAGAUGGUGAGGUAACGGCCCACCAUGGCGACGAUCGGUAGCCGGACUGAGAGGUUGAACGGCCACAUUGGGACUGAGACACGGCCCAGACUCCUACGGGAGGCAGCAGUGGGGAAUAUUGCACAAUGGGGGAAACCCUGAUGCAGCAACGCCGCGUGAAGGAAGACGGUCUUCGGAUUGUAAACUUUUGUUCUUGGUGAAGAAGAAUGACGGUAGCCAAGGAGGAAGCCACGGCUAACUACGUGCCAGCGGCCGCGGUAAUACGUAGGUGGCAAGCGUUGUCCGGAAUUACUGGGUGUAAAGGGAGCGCAGGCGGGAAAUCAAGUUGAAUGUGAAAUGUCGGGGCUUAACCCCGGAACUGCAUCCAAAACUGAUAUUCUUGAGUGAAGUAGAGGUAGGCGGAAUUCCGAGUGUAGCGGUGAAAUGCGUAGAUAUUCGGAGGAACACCAGUGGCGAAGGCGGCCUACUGGGCUUUAACUGGCGCUGAGGCUCGAAAGUGUGGGGAGCAAACAGGAUUAGAUACCCUGGUAGUCCACACUGUAAACGAUGAUUGCUAGGUGUGGGGGGUCUGACCCCCUCCCGUGCCGGAGUUAACGCAAUAAGCAAUCCACCUGGGGAGUACGGCCGCAAGGUUGAAACUCAAAGGAAUUGACGGGGGCCCGCACAAGCAGUGGAUUAUGUGGUUUAAUUCGAAGCAACGCGAAGAACCUUACCAGGUCUUGACAUCCGACUAACGAGAUAGAGAUAUGUCAGGUGCCCUUCGGGGAAAGUCGAGACAGGUGGUGCAUGGUUGUCGUCAGCUCGUGUCGUGAGAUGUUGGGUUAAGUCCCGCAACGAGCGCAAACCCCUGCCAUUAGUUGCUACGCAAGAGCACUCUAAUGGGACCGCUACCGACAAGGUGGAGGAAGGUGGGGACGACGUCAAAUCAUCAUGCCCCUUAUGACCUGGGCUACACACGUAAUACAAUGGCCGUUAACAACGAGGAGCGAAACCCGCGAGGGGGAGCAAAAACUUAAAAAACGGUCUCAGUUUCGGAUUGCAGGCUGCAACUCGCCUGCAUGAAGUUGGAAUUGCUAGUAAUCGCGGAUCAGCAUGCCGCGGUGAAAUACGUUUCCCGGGCCU